AUGGAUGGGCUUCUGUGUUCAGUUUCCCGCGGGAUCGCUGUCUUGGAUGGUGAUGUUGAGUGGUGUCCCUCCACAUCUAUAGGAACAAAUCAUGGCGUCAGGGACCUAAGCAGUGCUGAGAUUCUCCAGGAUCAGUACAGUCUGCUUGGAAGACAAACAGCAGUAUACUGGCGCAGUUUGGCCGCAGGUGGACAAAGAUUGCCAAACUAAUCGGCACUAGGACAGUUCUACAGGCGAAGAGCUAUGCUAGGCAGUGCUUCAAAAAUAAGGUAUGACUUUAGACCAUUUCCACAUCACUAUAUGAAUAUCUAUACGCUUUUGGUUCAGAUGUGUGGUGCUUUAAACUGAAUUCAUAUAUAAGAGAAUAAUUAUAAAUAUAGACAUCAAAGGGGGUAUUUUUAAAAUCCUCAAAAAAAUAGCGUCCUAUAAAAGCAUUCUGAAGGUGUUCACUAACAAUAACAAUGUCAGUAACACCCGAUGUACUUGUUACAUCGUAAGAAGAAUGGCAUCUACACUAAUAUCAGUCUGUCUCAUUCGUAUUCUGAGGUCACUAUAGCCACCCAGAUCCAGUCUGUAUCAGUGUUAAUUUUGGCAGGCGUUUUUGAUUUAGUCUUAGUCUUAGUCUUGAGACGAAAAUGCUUAAUAGUCUUAGUCACAUUUUAGUCAUUUGAGUCUUUCAUAGUUUUAGUCUAGUUUUAGUCGACGAAAAGUCAUUGCAUUUUAGUCAACUUUUAGUCACUACUUUUAGUCAAUAGUUUUAGCCAAACUGUAGUUACCAGAAUUUAUUUUGGUAGCGAUUUUAUAUGUAGUUUUCAAAUUAAAAUAAUCAUUAAUUCUUCUCUCUUUAGACCAAAUCAAUUAAGCUUAUGAGAAAUUUGAAUCAAGGACUGAAUUUGGAAAAUCUUGAAUAAAUUAUGACAAUUUUCAUUUUUGGGUGAACUU
ensembl:lncRNA